rnacentral:rRNA from 1 species
GACGUCCACUUAACUUGGAGUCCGAACUCUCACUUUCUAACCCUGUGCACUUGUUUGGGAUAGUAACUCUCGCAAGAGAGCGAACUCCUAUUCACUUAUAAACACAAAGUCUAUGAAUGUAUUAAAUUUUAUAACAAAAUAAAACUUUCAACAACGGAUCUCUUGGCUCUCGCAUCGAUGAAGAACGCAGCGAAAUGCGAUAAGUAAUGUGAAUUGCAGAAUUCAGUGAAUCAUCGAAUCUUUGAACGCACCUUGCGCUCCAUGGUAUUCCGUGGAGCAUGCCUGUUUGAGUGUCAUGAAUACUUCAACCCUCCUCUUUCUUAAUGAUUGAAGAGGUGUUUGGUUUCUGAGCGCUGCUGGCCUUUACGGUCUAGCUCGUUCGUAAUGCAUUAGCAUCCGCAAUCGAACUUCGGAUUGACUUGGCGUAAUAGACUAUUCGCUGAGGAAUUCUAGUCUUCGGACUAGAGCCGGGUUGGGUUAAAGGAAGCUUCUAAUCAGAAUGUCUACAUUUUAAGAUUAGAUCUCAAAUCAGGUAGGACUACCCGCUGAACUUAAGCAUAUCAAUAAGNCGGAGGAA